UACGUAGGGUGCGAGCGUUGUCCGGAAUUACUGGGCGUAAAGAGCUCGUAGGUGGUUUGUCGCGUUGUCCGUGAAAUUCCCUGGCUUAACUGGGGGCGUGCGGGCGAUACGGGCAGACUGGAGUACUGCAGGGGAGACUGGAAUUCCUGGUGUAGCGGUGGAAUGCGCAGAUAUCAGGAGAACACCCGUGGCGAAGGCGGGCCACUG
rnacentral:rRNA from 1 species